rnacentral:misc_RNA from 1 species
UUAAUUCCCAGUCUUAACAAUUUUUCCUUAGGUGAACCUGCGGAAGGAUCAUUAUCGAGUUAGGGUCUCCGGCCCGGCCUCCAACCCUGUGUUUAAAUACUAUGUUGCUUUGGCGGGUCCGUCCUGGGACCGCCGGGGGUCUUUGUUGACUCCCGGCCCGUGCCCGUCAAGAGCCCCCCAUUAAACCCUUGACCAAACUGUGUCGUCUGAGUUCAAACUUUAAUAGUUAAAACUCUCAACAACGGAUCUCUUGGUUCUG